UAAGCAAGGAAUGGCCCCCAUGACACAAGCUUCUUCCAAGAGGCCAGCCCCACUGCUUCCUGGCUGCCUUGAUGAAACAUCUGGAUCCCAAAAGACUUCUGUCCUACAGAUACCUCCUGGGGUCAUGGGGUUGACCGUGGAUUCUCCGCCAGUAAGUGCAAAUCUGCCCACAGAUUAGACUACAUGUGUGCCAACUAAGGACCAGCCCACAUGAAUCGAAAGCAGCUCAUCACUAAGUUGGUUACCAGCUAUACCCCCUUAAGCUUCAAUCGGCCUUGAGGGAGAUCAUUAACAGGGGUCACGAAUCAGCCAGCAGCCUCUCUAUAACCUCCCCGCGGCGUCAGGGUACCAUCCAGAAAGGAGAAGAGACAACUUUCUUUGCGGGACAACAGACUCAAAUCAGCAGAGUCACAGCUGUCCAGGACAGAGCAUGAAACUAACCAGCAGGUCACUGAAAGGGGCACACCCACCUUAGGGUAGAGGACCCUAAGGAGUCAUCAUCUCAUCUUCACUAAGGGGAUGACUGGGGCGGA